AACGAACGCUGGCCGCGUGCCCAACACAUGCCCCUCGAACGGGGUGAGGGAGCUUGCCUCUUCACCUCGUGGCGCACGGGUGCGUAACGCGCGGAUCAUCUGCCUGAUGCCCUGGCAUAACAUCUCGAAAGGGGUCCUGAUACCGGACCAGCCCACGAGCCCCUCGGAGUUUGCGGGAAAAGGGGGGGACCUUCGGGCCUUCCGACCGCAGAUGAGCCCGCGUCCCAUUAGCUAGUUGGUGGGGUAAAGGCCUACCAAGGCGACGAUGGGUAGCUGGUCUGAGAACGACCAGCCACACUGGGACUGAGACACGGCCCAGACUCCUACGGGAGGCAGCAGUGGGGAAUUUUGGACAAUGGGCGCAAGCCUGAUCCAGCCAUGCCGCGUGUGUGAAGAAGGCCUUCGGGUUGUAAAGCACUUUCGGCCGGAACGAAAUCGCGCGGAUUAAUAACCCGCGUGGAUGACGGUACCGGAAGAAGAGGCACCGGCUAACUACGUGCCAGCCGCCGCAGUAAAAC
rnacentral:rRNA from 1 species